rnacentral:rRNA from 1 species
GAACCUUACCUGGUCUUGACAUCCCGGAGACCCUUAGGAACUAGGGGUGCUUCCAUCUGGAAGAAUCUGGAGAUAGGUGCUGCAUGGCUGUCGUCAGCUCGUGUCGUGAGAUGUUGGGUUAAGUCCCGCAACGAGCGCAACCCUUGCCUUUAGUUGCCAGCAGUUCGGCUGGGCACUCUAAAGGGACUGCCGGUGUUAAACCGGAGGAAGGUGGGGAUGACGUCAAGUCCUCAUGGCCUUUAUGACCAGGGCUACACACGUACUACAAUGGCCGAUACAAAGGGCAGCGACACUGCGAGGUGAAGCCAAUCCCGUAAAAUCGGUCUCAGUCCGGAUUGGAGUCUGCAACUCGACUCCAUGAAGUUGGAAUCGCUAGUAAUCGUGGAUCAGCAUGCCACGGUGAAUACGUUCCCGGGCCUU